UACGGGGGGGGCAAGCGUUGUUCGGAAUUACUGGGCGUAAAGGGCUCGUAGGUGGCCAACUAAGUCAGACGUGAAAUCCCCCGGCUUAACCUGGGAACUGCGUCUGAUACUGGAAGGCUUGAGUAUGGGAGAGGGAUGUAGAAUUCCAGGUGUAGCGGUGAAAUGCGUAGAUAUCUGGAGGAAUACCGGUGGCGAAGGCGGCAUCCUGGACCGGCAUUGACGCUGAUGAGCGAAAGCUAGGGGAGCAAACGGG
rnacentral:rRNA from 1 species